GACGUAGGGCGCGAGCGUUGUCCGGAUUUAUUGGGCGUAAAGAGCUCGUAGGCGGCUUGUUGCGUCGACUGUGAAAACCUGCGGCUCAACCGUGUGGUCUGCAGUCGAUACGGGCAGGCUGGAGUUCGGUAGGGGAGACUGGAAUUCCUGUUGUAGCGGUGAAAUGCGCAGAUAUCAGGAGGAACACCGGUGGCGAAGGCGGGUCUCUGGGCCGAUACUGACGCUGAGGAGCGAAAGCGUGGGGAGCGAACAGG
rnacentral:rRNA from 1 species